CCGUAGGUGAACCUGCGGAGGGAUCAUUACACAAAUAUGAAGCCAGACUGGGCCGUGGCCUUGUUGCCACGCCCGUUUGGUGCCAUAUUCACCCAUGUCUUUUUGCGUACUACUUGUUUCCCUUGGCGGGUCCGCCCGCCAAUUGGACCUUAUUGAACCCUUUUUUUGCAAUUGCAAUCAGCGUCAGCAAAACAAAUGUAAUUAAUUACAACUUUCAACAACGGAUCUCUUGGUUCUGGCAUCGAUGAAGAACGCAGCGAAAUGCGAUAAGUAGUGUGAAUUGCAGAAUUCAGUGAAUCAUCGAAUCUUUGAACGCACAUUGCGCCCUUUGGUAUUCCAAAGGGCAUGCCUGUUCGAGCGUCAUUUGUACCCUCAAGCUUUGCUUGGUGUUGGGCGUCUUGUCUUGGGGGCUUCCUCUCAAGACUCGCCUUAAAAUCAUUGGCAGCCGGCCUACUGGUUUCGGAGCGCAGCACAUUAUUUGCGCUCUUGUCCAGCCGCGGUCGCGCGUCCAUGAAGCUGUCUUUCAACCUUUUGACCUCGGAUCAGGUAGGGAUACCC
rnacentral:rRNA from 1 species